rnacentral:rRNA from 1 species
GAUGAACGCUGGCGGCGUGCCUAAUACAUGCGAGUCGGGCGAACGGACGAGAAGCUUGCUUCUCUGAUGUUAGCGGCGGACGGGUGAGUAACACGUGGAUAACCUACCUAUAAGACUGGGAUAACUUCGGGAAACCGGAGCUAAUACCGGAUAAUAUUUUGAACCGCAUGGUUCAAAAGUGAAAGACGGUCUUGCUGUCACUUAUAGAUGGAUCCGCGCUGCAUUAGCUAGUUGGUAAGGUAACGGCUUACCAAGGCAACGAUGCAUAGCCGACCUGAGAGGGUGAUCGGCCACACUGGAACUGAGACACGGUCCAGACUCCUACGGGAGGCAGCAGUAGGGAAUCUUCCGCAAUGGGCGAAAGCCUGACGGAGCAACGCCGCGUGAGUGAUGAAGGUCUUCGGAUCGUAAAACUCUGUUAUUAGGGAAGAACAUAUGUGUAAGUAACUGUGCACAUCUUGACGGUACCUAAUCAGAAAGCCACGGCUAACUACGUG